GUCCACGCUGUAAACGAUGAUCACUGGACGUCGGAUCUGCUUUGCAGAUUCGGUGUCGAAGCUAACGCGUUAAGUGAUCCGCCUGGGGAGUACGGUCGCAAGAUUAAAACUCAAAGAAAUUGACGGGGGUCCGCACAAGCGGUGGAACAUGUGGUUUAAUUCGACACUACGCGAGAAACCUUACCUAGGCUUGACAUGUUUUUUGACCGCUCUAGAAACAGAGCUUUCCAAAGUUUACUUUGGACAAAUUCACAGGUGCUGCAUGGCUGUCGU
rnacentral:rRNA from 1 species